rnacentral:rRNA from 1 species
CCCAGGUAUUGCCCUAGUAACGGCGAGUGAACAGGCAAGAGCUCAGAUUUGAAAGGCACUUUUGUGCCGUUGUAUUCUGAAGUUAGGGUCCUGAGAAACGAUGCUUAAGUCUUCUGGAAAGGAGCGCCAUGGAGGGUGAUAGCCCCGUCUAGCAUUGACCUCAUAUAGGAUCUUAACAUGGAGUCGAGUUGUUUGGGAAUGCAGCUCAAAUGGGUGGUAUGCUCCAUCUAAAGCUAAAUAUCUGCGAGAGACCGAUAGUAAACAAGUACUGUGAGGGAAAGAUGAAAAGAACUUUGAAAAGAGAGUGAAAAAGUACGUGAAAUUGUUGAAAUGGAAGGGUAGGCCGCUAACCAUGUAGAGCCGUGUUUGGGGGGAAGAUAAAUGCUGUAGAAUGUAGCUCCUCGGAGUAUUAUAGAUGCAGUUCAUAUUCCCACCCGAGCGCGAGGAUCUCAGGUUCUACUAAAUGGUGGUCUACCACCCGUCUUGAAC